AACCUUAUGGACCUGCGGGCGUAUACCUGCGGAAGGAUCAUUACCGAGUUUACAACUCCCAAACCCAUGUGAACAUACCUAUCGUUGCUUCGGCGGAUCGCCCCGGGCGCCUUGCGUGCCCCGGAUCCAGGCGGCCGCCGGGGGACCUUAACUCUUGUUUUUACUGAGAAUCUUCUGAGUCGUUUUUACAAAUAAAUAAAAACUUUCAACAACGGAUCU
rnacentral:misc_RNA from 1 species